rnacentral:rRNA from 1 species
CCUACGGGCGGCAGCAGUGAGGAAUAUUGGUCAAUGGGCGCGAGCCUGAACCAGCCAAGUCGCGUGAGGGAAGACGGUCCUAUGGAUUGUAAACCUCUUUUGUCGGGGAGCAAAAGACGCCACGCGUGGCGUUCCGAGAGUACCCGAAGAAAAAGCAUCGGCUAACUCCGUGCCAGCAGCCGCGGUAAUACGGAGGAUGCGAGCGUUAGCCGGAUUGAUUGGGUUUAAAGGGUGCGCAGGCGGAAGAUCAAGUCAGCGGUAAAAUUGAGAGGCUCAACCUCUUCGAGCCGUUGAAACUGGUUUUCUUGAGUGAGCGAGAGGUAUGCGGAAUGCGUGGUGUAGCGGUGAAAUGCAUAGAUAUCACGCAGAACUCCGAUUGCGAAGGCAGCAUACCGGCGCUCAACUGACGCUCAUGCACGAAAGUGUGGGUAUCGAACAGGAUUAGAUACCCCAGUAGUC